CAACAGCUAGAGUUUGAUCCUGGCUCAGGAUGAACGCUGGCGGCGUGCAUAACACAUUCAAGUCGAACGGAGCGAACAGACUUCGGUUGUUUGCUUAGUGGCGGACGGGUGAGUAACGCGUGAGCAACCUGCCUUCGUGAGGGGGAUAACGUUUGGAAACGAACGCUAAUACCGCAUGACGCAUAGAGAUCGCAUGGUCAUUAUGCCAAAGAGAUAUUGCACGAAGAUGGGCUCGCGUCCGAUUAGACAGUUGGUGAGGUAACGGCCCACCAAAUCUACGAUCGGUAGCCGGACUGAGAGGUCGAACGGCCACAUUGGAACUGAGAACGGUCCAGACUCCUACGGGAGGCAGCAGUGGGGAAUAUUGGGCAAUGGGCGAAAGCCUGACCCAGCGACGCCGCGUGAAGGAAGACGGUCUUCGGAUUGUAAACUUCAAAAUUUGGGGACGAAGAAUGACGGUACCCAAGGUUAAGCCACGGCUAACUACGUGCC
rnacentral:rRNA from 1 species